ACAUAAAAAAGCAUUUCCAGGCCUAACAGAUGUCCCACAAUUUUAUGUUAUUAUAUAUUGUUUCACAAAACGGACAUAAUAAAAACAUGGCGAAAAGUAAAAACAGGGAACCCUCGCACACCCGUUGACAAAAAUGACCAUUAUCAACAUUAAUUAAAUUAAAUGACCGUGUUGUUCUGGUUACUGCUCCAAUUGUCAAUUUAAAAUUAAAACGACUUUAGUUUGAUGAGAAAAAACAAAAAUAGUAGCAAUUAUUUUCUUUGUCUUAUGUUCUAUUUUGUUGAAAGAAAAUUAUAACUUUGGUGUUUUUAAUACCCUAUCAUGUUGAGCGCGCUAUGGUGUGUCUAUGUUCAAAAACAAGUGUUAGUCAAUUUCUGUCGAAAACAGAGCAUUAUCGCAGAUAUAUUUGACAAAUAGAGGAAUAAGAAUAACCUUGGUUGGGAAUUCAGUGUUCUUAUAAGAUGAUGCUUUUAUUCGUAGAGCGACCACACACUAUGUAUCAAUCGAUAUUAGGAAUUUAGCAAGCGGUUAGAGGGUGGAUUUCACUCCGGCAACGUAGAAAGGAUCCUCAAUAUUACAACAUCUAGAUCCAUUCAUGAUGAUCUUGUUUUAUCAGAUGCCUUCGGUGCUGUAAACAAUAUGCCUGGAAAUUCCCUCCAUGUAAUGAAGCAGUAAUGUUGUUAAAAUGUAAAAUGUUUCCAAUACACAAUUUAUUUAUAUAAUUACUGACAAUGAAUUGAUGUUAUUAUUGGCAUGACUCUGCAAAAAAAUUAUAUAGCCGUUAUCUUUAAAAACAAAACGUGCAUUCAUUAGUUUUUGCUAAAAUAAAGGAAUUAAUCUUAAUUCGUUGCUAUCCACACAAUAACCCAGUCACCAUACAUUCAUCAUACAUUCACCAUACAUUUACUACACACUCACCAUACAUUCACAAUACAAUCACCAUACAUUCACCUACAUUCACCAUACAUUCAACAUACAUUCGCCAUACAUUCAACAUGCAUUCCCUAUACAUUGACCAUACAUUCAUCAUACAUUGACCAUACAUUUACCAUACAUUCACAAUACAAU